GAGUUUGAUCCUGGCUCAGGAUGAACGCUGGCGGCGUGCUUAACACAUGCAAGUCGAACGGGCUCAUAUUGAAACCUAGUGAUGUAUGAGUUAGUGGCGGACGGGUGAGUAACGCGUGGAGAACCUGCCGUAUACUGGGGGAUAACACUUAGAAAUAGGUGCUAAUACCGCAUAAGCGCACAGCUUCGCAUGAAGCAGUGUGAAAAACUCCGGUGGUAUACGAUGGAUCCGCGUCUGAUUAGCUGGUUGGCGGGGUAACAGCCCACCAAGGCGACGAUCAGUAGCCGGCCUGAGAGGGUGAACGGCCACAUUGGGACUGAGACACGGCCCAAACUCCUACGGGAGGCAGCAGUGGGGAAUAUUGCACAAUGGGGGAAACCCUGAUGCAGCGACGCCGCGUGAGUGAAGAAGUAUUUCGGUAUGUAAAGCUCUAUCAGCAGGGAAGAAAAUGACGGUACCUGACUAAGAAGCCCCGGCUAACUACGUGCCAGCAGCCGCGGUAAUACGUAGGGGGCAAGCGUUAUCCGGAUUUACUGGGUGUAAAGGGAGCGUAGACGGCAGCGCAAGUCUGAAGUGAAAUCCCAUGGCUUAACCAUGGAACUGCUUUGGAAACUGUGCAGCUGGAGUGCAGGAGAGGUAAGCGGAAUUCCUAGUGUAGCGGUGAAAUGCGUAGAUAUUAGGAGGAACACCAGUGGCGAAGGCGGCUUACUGGACUAU
rnacentral:rRNA from 1 species